rnacentral:lncRNA from 1 species
GUCCUUGAUGAUAUAUAUUUUGUACUGUUUAUAGAUAAAAAUCAAUGCAAACUAGAAUUCUGAGGUUUGAUAAAUGUGACUCUGCUUAGGGUUUUAAUGCUAUUCAUCAAUAAUUUGCUGGAAAAACAGUAUCAAAUAAGUACAUAAUUGAACCUUUAUGUCUAUAGCAAGUUAGUAUUUAUAACCAUUGGGAACAAAUCAAAAGUUCUCGAGACUCUGAAAUUCUUUCACCUGAAAGCUCUCUCAGCAUUCUAUGCUGGUAAAAUCUCCCUUUUCCUCCCUUUCUUCUCAGUCUUAGGGUCACUGGGACACUGUUUGGUUCAAGGGUAUUGUCAAGAGCUUCCCAGUUCUUGCAGAGUUGAAGUGUUAUUGGGUCAAUGAGAUGCCAGCCAUGAAACACAGCCCACAAAAACCCACUGAUGUUUUUUAGCAAAAGUUUUCAUGCCAAGUGAAUUAGUUUUGGAAAAACAACCGUAGCAGCAAUUGACUUGCUCACUUUUUCCAUCAAGUUAAACCCCAGAUCUCCAUUAGUAGAAAAAAGGUAAUCUGAGAGGCUCUGAAUGUUUAGUGGUCAAUCAGAAUGAGCUCCUUAAGGUAAUUUAAAGUUUAGAUAGCUGAAAUCAGUUGGCUUAUGAUUAGGGCCAUGCAUAGAAGUCAAAGUCUAUGAUUCUGUUUCUG